rnacentral:tRNA from 1 species
GGAGGGUAUAGCUCAGUGGUAGAGCGUGUGCUUAGCAUGCAUGAGGUCCUGGGUUCAAUCCCCAGUUCCUCCA